rnacentral:lncRNA from 1 species
GGACUUUAUAGUUGAACUGAAAUUGGGAUGAGGUAAUGCUGAAUUAGAGUAAUCCUGGUUUGGCAUGACUCCUCCAGGGGAAGAGAAGCACAGAGAAAUAGGACACCAUGUGAAGAGAGAUGAAGAAAGGAUGCAUCUAGAAGCCAAGAAAGGCAGGAAGAAGGAGGAAGACACAUGGGUUAUGAAGCAUGACAGCUAACUCACAAACAUAAUCAAGCGGUGACUCCAGUUGCAGCUCUUAUGCCAGAUGUGUCUCUACUUGAACAGAUGCGCAUGUCUCCUGGCACAUGCAAAAUGGCUCAACUCCUGAGGGCCCAACAGAGACAACACUGUGCUGAGAAACAAUCCUUGUGGACCCCAUGCGGACCCCAUGCAGUCACCCAUGCAGACGGCAGCCUGCACCUCUACAGUUCAGCUCCACGGGAUCCAAAAGCAAGGAACAUCGAUGAGUUGCGUUUACCUGUGCACUGCCAGGAGCUAGGCCACGCUCGCCAGACUGGAAAGCUCAGUGAGGAGUGUGUGAAAGAAUGAGUGUGGACCUGUUUCACCAUUUAUUUGCUGUUUAUGAAUAAAUAAAAAGUGUUAGAACCC